rnacentral:rRNA from 1 species
GACGAACGCUGGCGGCGUGCCUAAUACAUGCAAGUCGAGCGGACCAAAGGGAGCUUGCUCCUGGAGGUUAGCGGCGAACGGGUGAGUAACACGUGGGCAACCUGCCUGUAAGACUGGGAUAACAUCGAGAAAUCGGUGCUAAUACCGGAUAAUAAAAAGAACUGCAUGGUUCUUUUUUGAAAGAUGGUUUCGGCUAUCACUUACAGAUGGGCCCGCGGCGCAUUAGCUAGUUGGUGAGGUAACGGCUCACCAAGGCGACGAUGCGUAGCCGACCUGAGAGGGUGAUCGGCCACACUGGGACUGAGACACGGCCCAGACUCCUACGGGAGGCAGCAGUAGGGAAUCUUCCGCAAUGGACGAAAGUCUGACGGAGCAACGCCGCGUGAGUGAUGAAGGUUUUCGGAUCGUAAAACUCUGUUGUUAGGGAAGAACAAGUGCCGUUCGAAAGGGCGGCACCUUGACGGUACCUAACGAGAAAGCCACGGCUAACUACGUGCCAGCAGCCGCGGUAA